rnacentral:rRNA from 1 species
UACGUAGGCAGCGAGCGUUGUUCGGAGUUACUGGGCGUAAAGAGUGCGUAGGCGGUUUUCUAAGUUUGGUGUGAAAUCUCCCGGCUCAACUGGAAGGGUGCGCCGAAGACUGGAAGGCUUGAGUAUGGGAGAGGUAAGCGGAAUUCCUGGUGUAGCGGUGAAAUGCGUAGAUAUCAGGAGGAACACCUGCGGUGUAGACGGCUUACUGGACCAUAACUGACGCUGAGGCACGAAAGCGUGGGUAGCAAACAGG